UGAUCUUUGGCUUGAUCUGCAUCUGUACCAAGCUAUAAAACACUUGUAAAUGGUGAAACAGAGGAAAAGAGAAAAAAGGGUGAGCAAAAUGAAAAGAAAGAUAAUUAGAGGGGCUGUGAUUUUGCUGUGGUGGUGUGGAGGAUCUACCGGAGGAGUGAUUAAUUCAGGCGGCGGCGGCAGCGGUGGGAUGUGGGAUAAGAUUUUAUUGUAACAAUUUGAAAUGCAAAUUGAGAAGCAAGAAAAGGGACAUAAACCAUGUGGGUUUUUUAUUGGGUCGCAAUAUGGUUUACAGAAUAAUUUUCUAUGAGAAAAGGCCAUGGAUUAUUAGGAGGAAUGGAGAGAGAUGGGGGGUGGCCUUAGUUUUGAGGAGAGAGAAAACAUGUUAUUUUGUUACAGGAAAUUUGAUGGGGUUAACGAUGAA
rnacentral:lncRNA from 1 species